UACGUAGGGGGCUAGCGUUGUCCGGAAUCAUUGGGCGUAAAGAGCGUGUAGGCGGCUCGAUAAGUCCGCUGUGAAAGUCCAGGGCUCAACCCUGGGAUGCCGGUGGAUACUGUCGGGCUCGAGUCCGGAAGAGGCGAGUGGAAUUCCUGGUGUAGCGGUGAAAUGCGCAGAUAUCAGGAGGAACACCAAUGGCGAAGGCAGCUCGCUGGGACGUGACUGACGCUGAGACGCGAAAGCCGGGGGAGCAAACAGG
rnacentral:rRNA from 1 species